UAUAAAUAAGAAAUUACCUAAAGGAAAGUAUCUUUGAAGAGUUUGAUAAAGUUCAGUUUGUUCAUUUUUGAGUUAUUGAUAUGGUGGUGGGGUGAGUGGGGGAUGGGGAUGGGAGUUAUUCUCAUUUAUUGAAGAGUUUCCAGAUGCCUUUUUAGGACUUACUGCUACAUUUUGCAUGGUGUACCAACUUGUAGAGCUUGUCCAUGUAUCCAAAACAGCUCCUCUAGCACAGGGGUUCUCAUCCUUUUCAAUGUCAUGACCCCAUGUCACAACAGAAAAGCGUUCAUGACACUUCUCCCAUCUACCCUUAGAGAAACAGGGGUUAUCAUGAUGCACCAGUUGAGAACCUUUGCACUAGUGCAUGUUAUUUAGACAGUAAAACAAAUACACAUUGAACCAUGUUCGAUUUUCAUGUACCAAGCUGUAGAAGAGUAUCUUUGUCUUCCUCUAGUGCACGCCUGCACAACAUGCGGCCCGCGGGGGGAGGUGAGUAGGCAAGUGGCGGGUGAGGGAGGGGGGCUGAGGAGGCGAGCGGGCGGGCAGUGGUGGAGGAGAGGUGAGCCGGCGGCUGCCCCAGCCUGUCACCGCCGCUCCACCUCCGCCUCCUCCUCUGAACACUCCACCCCGCUUCUCGCGAAACAGAAGUUCGCGCGGGAAGCCUGGGAAGGCAAAGAAGCGGUGCAGCUGCUUCGUGCUGAGGCCCAGCGAGGCGGAGCCGGAGCCGGAGCCGGAGCCGGAGCCGAGGUGCUCUGGGGCGGGGGUACGCAAGGAGGGCCGCCCGUGCUGCAGCAGGUAACCCGGGGGAGGGGCGCGCAGGGGAACUGCUCCCUGUCCUAGUUCACUUCCGCUCUGCCUCCGCCUCCCUGGACCUGAGCGCGAAGCCGCAACUUGCUUCUCAGCCCUCCCAGGCUUCCCGCGCGAACCGCUGAUUUGCAGGAAGCGGGAGGGCUGCGAGCUCAGCCUGACCCGGUGCUCCAGACACUGUGCGGCAGCUGCGUGGCCCGGUUCCAGCCGAGUGGCGCGUCUGUAGCGCCGCCAGCCACCUCCAGGCAGCGCGACCAGACCACUGAAACCUGUGUGGAGAAGGAAGAUGCUGGAAUUCCCUCCCUGGUUGAACUGCUAUUUUCCUCCAGCUAACUACCUGACAGAGACAUAUUGGCUGCACAAAGAAUCCAGACUACUGCCAGAAAAAUAAGACAUGCUGGAGGAGUGGGCAGGAGGGGCUUGUCUUCCCAUCAGGACCCUGACCAAAACUCCAGAGGACUCAAAGGAGUGGUGAGGACUUGGAAGGAGAGAAUUGCAUGCUAAUGUUUGUUGUUUUGGGUUAGAUCUGUAACUCUAACUGUCUAAGAGUAAAGUGUGUGUGUUUAUAGAG